rnacentral:rRNA from 1 species
AGUUUUGAGCUAAAUAUACUUAUAAUAUUAGUUUAUUUAUGAAGGUGUUGUAAAACCUUAUUAAAAAUUAUAUUUAGGGGUGAUAGGCCUUUCAAAAACUAAGAUAUCUUGAAUCUAAUUAAAAGUAUGUAGUACAUUCAACACAACUAUUAAGUGAUUAGGCUUUAUAGAACUAUUAACUUAUAAGGAUUUUUAUUUAUUAUAAUUUAAUAAUUAAGUAUAUAAAUAGAAUAAUAUACAUAUAUUAUAAUUUAUAAGGAGUAAUUAGAUAAAUUAAAGUUCAUAAAUUUUGUAAUAAUGUUAAUAUUAGUAUUAAGUUUAUAUUUAUAUGAUGAACUCGGCAAAAAUGUUUCUCAACUGUUUAUCAAAAACAUAACUAUGUGUAUAAAUACAUAGCGGUUUCUGCUCAA